CUACCUCUGGUGUAGUGGUUUGAGUGAUGGACUACAAUUCUGGAGACCAGGGUUCAAAUCCCUGCUUGAAUA